ACGAGUGGCGGACGGGUGAGUAACACGUAGGUAACCUGCCCAGAAGCGGGGGACAACAUUUGGAAACAGAUGCUAAUACCGCAUAACAGCGUUGUUCGCAUGAACAACGCUUAAAAGAUGGCUUCUCGCUAUCACUUCUGGAUGGACCUGCGGUGCAUUAGCUUGUUGGUGGGGUAACGGCCUACCAAGGCGAUGAUGCAUAGCCGAGUUGAGAGACUGAUCGGCCACAAUGGGACUGAGACACGGCCCAUACUCCUACGGGAGGCAGCAGUAGGGAAUCUUCCACAAUGGGCGCAAGCCUGAUGGAGCAACACCGCGUGAGUGAAGAAGGGUUUCGGCUCGUAAAGCUCUGUUGUUAAAGAAGAACACGUAUGAGAGUAACUGUUCAUACGUUGACGGUAUUUAACCAGAAAGUCACGGCUAACUACGUGCCAGCAGCCGCGGUAAUACGUAGGUGGCAAGCGUUAUCCGGAUUUAUUGGGCGUAAAGAGAGUGCAGGCGGUUUUCUAAGUCUGAUGUGAAAGCCUUCGGCUUAACCGGAGAAGUGCAUCGGAAACUGGAUAACUUGAGUGCAGAAGAGGGUAGUGGAACUCCAUGUGUAGCGGUGGAAUGCGUAGAUAUAUGGAAGAACACCAGUGGCGAAGGCGGCUACCUGGUCUGCAACUGACGCUGAGACUCGAAAGCAUGGGUAGCGAACAGGAUUAGAUACCCUGGUAGUCCAUGCCGUAAACGAUGAGUGCUAGGUGUUGGAGGGUUUCCGCCCUUCAGUGCCGGAGCUAACGCAUUAAGCACUCCGCCUGGGGAGUACGACCGCAAGGUUGAAACUCAAAGGAAUUGACGGGGGCCCGCACAAGCGGUGGAGCAUGUGGUUUAAUUCGAAGCUACGCGAAGAACCUUACCAGGUCUUGACAUCUUGCGCCAACCCUAGAGAUAGGGCGUUUCCUUCGGGAACGCAAUGACAGGUGGUGCAUGGUCGUCGUCAGCUCGUGUCGUGAGAUGUUGGGUUAAGUCCCGCAACGAGCGCAACCCUUGUUACUAGUUGCCAGCAUUAAGUUGGGCACUCUAGUGAGACUGCCGGUGACAAACCGGAGGAAGGUGGGGACGACGUCAGAUCAUCAUGCCCCUUAUGACCUGGGCUACACACGUGCUACAAUGGACGGUACAACGAGUCGCGAACUCGCGAGGGCAAGCAAAUCUCUUAAAACCGUUCUCAGUUCGGACUGCAGGCUGCAACUCGCCUGCACGAAGUCGGAAUCGCUAGUAAUCGCGGAUCAGCAUGCCGCGGUGAAUACGUUCCCGGGCCUUGUACACACCGCCCGUCACACCAUGAGAGUUUGUAACACCCAAAGUCGGU
rnacentral:rRNA from 1 species